UACGGAGGGUGCAAGCGUUAUCCGGAAUCAUUGGGUUUAAAGGGUCCGUAGGCGGACAAAUAAGUCAGAGGUGAAAUCCCAUCGCUCAACGAUGGAACUGCCUUUGAUACUGUUUGUCUUGAGUCAUAUUGAAGUAGAUAGAAUGUGUAGUGUAGCGGUGAAAUGCAUAGAUAUUACACAGAAUACCGAUUGCGAAGCAGUCUACUAAGUAUGUACUGACGCUGAUGGACGAAAGCGUGGGGAGCGAACA
rnacentral:rRNA from 1 species